GCGGUUCCGGGUGGGAGAUCUUGAACUGGACUCUCCCGGCGCAGGACGCGGUCCGACCGUGUGCACUUUCCGCGGGCAGAGCGCCACGACCGGUUCUCGGGGCGGUCAGAAGGCGGCGGGGAUGGUAGGCGUGCGCUUCGGGYGCGCGCUGGUAUAGCCCCGCCUGUCCCGAUCCGCCCGGGGACCGAGGAGCCGCCGCCGGCAGAGAGGUGGCCCGGCCCCUCCUUGGGAUGUUUGCCGACUGGCAGAGACUGGGCAACCGUGUCUGCCGACCGCUUCCCUUGGACGGAGUGGGGCCCACCUUGCCGGCACAGGGUCGGUGGCGAAUCGGUCGGCCCUCCACCCGACCCGUCUUGAAACACGGACCAAGGAGUCUAACAUGCGCGCGAGUCGUUGGGUCGUACGAAACCCGAAGGCGAAGUGAAAGCGAGGGCCGGUCUCCGUGACCGUUGCUCAGGUGGGAUCCCGCCCGGCCUUCCUGGUUGGGUGGGCGCACCACCGGCCCGUCUCGUCCGCUGUCGUCGGUGAGGCGGAGCAUGAGCGUGCACGUUGGGACCCGAAAGAUGGUGAACUAUGCCUGAGCAGGACGAAGCCAGAGGAAACUCUGGUGGAGGUCCGCAGCGAUUCUGACGUGCAAAUCGAUCGUCAAACUUGGGUAUAGGGGCGAAAG
rnacentral:rRNA from 1 species